rnacentral:rRNA from 1 species
AUUGAACGCUGGCGGCAUGCCUUACACAUGCAAGUCGAACGGUAACGCGGGGCAACCUGGCGACGAGUGGCGAACGGGUGAGUAAUGCAUCGGAACGUGCCCAGUAGUGGGGGAUAGCCCGGCGAAAGCCGGAUUAAUACCGCAUACGACCUACGGGUGAAAGCGGGGGACCGUAAGGCCUCGCGCUAUUGGAGCGGCCGAUGUCAGAUUAGGCAGUUGGUGGGGUAAAGGCCUACCAAGCCGACGAUCUGUAGCUGGUCUGAGAGGACGACCAGCCACACUGGGACUGAGACACGGCCCAGACCCCUACGGGAGGCAGCAGGGGGGAAUAUUGGGCAAUGGGCGCAAGCCUGACCCAGCGACGCCGCGUGGGUGAUGAAGGCCUUCGGGUCGUAAAGCCCUGUCGGGAGGAAAGAACGAUCUUGGGGGGAAUAUCCCCAGGGUGUGACGGUACCUCCGAAGGAAGCACCGGCCAAUUCCGUGCCAGCAGCCGCCGUAAAAC